UACGGGGGGGGGCAAGCGUUGUUCGGAAUUACUGGGCGUAAAGGGCUCGUAGGCGGCCAACUAAGUCGGAUGUGAAAUCCCCAGGCUUAACCUGGGAACUGCAUCCGAUACUGGAUGGCUUGAAUCCGGGAGAGGGAUGCAGAAUUCCAGGUGUAGCGGUGAAAUGCGUUGAGAUCGGAAGGAACGCCCGUGGCGAAAGCGAGGUCCUGGACGUCUACUGACGCUGAGACGCGAAAAGCUAGGGGGAGCAAACAGGG
rnacentral:rRNA from 1 species